AAUUCGUGGUGUGGGCAUUUUUGAAUCAACAUUUUGAAACGUUCCCACGCAUCAUAGAAACUUCCUCCCUCAAUCUCUAUAAAAUCAUCAAUCUCUUAUCUUAAUU
rfam:Gossypium raimondii chromosome 4, whole genome shotgun sequence.